rnacentral:lncRNA from 1 species
AACACUCAAACACAUAUGCAUGUUCAAAUCAAAAGGUCCUUUAUGGAUGUAAUGGGGCCAAGGACAAGGGAGGAUAAAAUAUGGAUGAGAAGCUACAAACCAAAAAGAAUAGAGGAGCAAUGGGGAAUAAGUGAAAACACAGUCAAAUCACACCCAAAACCCUCUAAUUCAAUCCUCUUCUUGACUCCAUUAUUCACAAUAUUUUUUAUUUUUUUAUUUUUUUUUUGUUUUUUUUCUUCUUUUUUUUUCAUCUUGUCUCUUUUCUUUUUCUCUCCUUUCAGAACACAACUCUAAGAGACAAG